GACGAACGCUGGCGGCGUGCUUAACACAUGCAAGUCGAACGGAAAGGCCUCUUUCGGGGGGUACUCGAGUGGCGAACGGGUGAGUAACACGUGAGUAACCUGCCCUUGACUUUGGGAUAACUUCAGGAAACUGGGGCUAAUACCGGCUAGGAGCUCCUGCUGCCUGGUGGGGGUUGGAAAGUUUCGGCGGUUGGGGAUGGACUCGCGGCUUAUCAGCUUGUUGGUGGGGUAGUGGCUUACCAAGGCUUUGACGGGUAGCCGGCCUGAGAGAGUGACCGGCCACACUGGGACUUAGAUACGGCCCAGACUCCUACGCGAGGCAGCAGUGGGGAAGAUUGAACGAUGGGUGCAAGCCUGAUGCAGCAACGCCGUGUGCGGGAUAACGGUCUUCGUGUGGUAAACCGCUUGCGCACGUGACGAAGCUCGGUGUGACGGUAGUGGGUAAAGAAGCACCGGCUAACUACGUG
rnacentral:rRNA from 1 species